UCGUCUGCAUCAUGUCAAAAGUAUAAAACACAAAGCCCAUAAUGCUUUGUCGCACCAUCUGUACGUCAGGUCAAUAUGGAUGUUAGAUAAGCAUGAGUGGGAAUACCUGUUAGCUUUGUCGCACCAUCGAUAUCAUCGUUUGGAGGUUCACCGCCUAUAGUAUACCAAUAUGAAAAAAGUGCGGUAUGUUGUAAAUGAAAGUGAAUUCCCAUAAGUGCACUAAUGUCAUUUGAAAUAUGAACGAGUCAGUACCAAUACUAUUGUGGCCAUCUACAUUUGUGCCACAAUCGAGAGUUAGAUUAUUGGAACCCAACAACGAACCAUCAUGAUGGUCUUUAAUCCGUAGCGGACUUGUUCCAUCUGUAGAGUUAUAACCAGUAGGAAAAGAAAAUCAAUGGUAUAUAGGCGACAAUAUAUGUUUAUAAGAAUCUUGGCAGAUGUAAUGCGGCUGAGUGAGUACCAUCUUGAUUUGUGCUAAAAUCCAAAUUCAGUAUACUCGGAGCUGUGAAGCAAGCCUCAUUGUGCUCUCCAUCCGAAAACGACAUUGAUCCAUCUAUUGAGUUAUAACCAGGAUGAAUAUAAGGCCAAUGAUAUAAACGUCGUAUCUACAUGGCAACAUUCCCAACAAUAUUCACACGAGCAUUAUACCUGGAACCGUAGCUGAAUUUUCCCCAAUGUUUUGAGAUACAUGUAUGAUGCUUGCAUUGUUAUCUUCAACUAUUAUAGAGCUUGUAAGGUCUAGAAAGCAUUAUGCAUUAAGCAUGUGAAUAUCAGAAAUGCAGAGAACUCAUGUGUAGCACAUUAUGAUAGGUAUAAGCAUGCCCGUAGUAUUAUCUUCAACAGUUAUCACGCUUUUAAGGCUUGCAAAACAUGAUAAUAAAAGAUUGCGAAUAACCUAUGUGUAGUACUUUCUCAUAGAAAUGCAGCUUACCCGUAGUAACGUCCUCUUCUGGUUGCUGAUCAACCGCCUUGCUUCUUGAAUUACCCAUACGCACCUAUGUAAGUACAGAUUACUGACAAUUAAUGACCUAUGUCUGAAGUGAAGUUCGGAUGAGGCUUCAACUCUGCUAGAUGUUCUCUUUGAUCAUUUAUCUGUGGACCGUAUACAUUCAUCAUUUGGUCAUACUGCUGUAUUUCCACGAAGAAAACCCUUUUCAUGAUAUUAUACAGUAAAAAAGCAUGCUUGCAAUCAAUCUUCUAGCAUCAGUUUUUAUUUGUUAUGUUGUUAUUUAAUCACUAAGGGCUUGGAUAUAUAUAGCAUCCAAAUGAUCAUCAGAACUUGAUGGCACGGCAAAAGAGCAGGUUCCUGUGAUCUUUGGUCAAACCUGUAGAUAUGCAACUUGCACCUACUAUAGUACUCCUACUGUUGAGUUAAUGCAUUAGGCUUUGCGAAGCUUCAGAUCAACCUUAUCAUAUCAUAGUAUAAGUAGUUUAUUGGUCAGUUGUAUCGUUUCUCUUCAGACUGAUGGUUUACUUGUGUCACUUUUUUCAUGUGAUCCUGUUGUGAGCUGCAAACUCGAGAUCUUCUGCAGAUGUGAGAUGCAAACUCGAGAUCAGGGUGCUCCCCAAGCUCAAAAUCAUCUCAACAAGACUCGAGAUCCUUGGCAGAUGCUGCUACUGAUGACACCGUCUCCGAGGGCCGUCACUAGCCCCAAACUCCUAGAGUAGAAAUCAGCUGCAAGAAAACUGGGUGUCAGUUAUGUGCAAGUAAAAGAGAUGACUAUUGCCACUUGAUGCUUCUACUGACCCCGGGCAAAGAGAUGACUCACCACCUGCAAGCAUUCACAUAAAAAUAGUAAUGAAUUUGGGACUGACAAAUUGACCAAAGCAGAUAUGGCCUCAUCAUAUUCGGCAGUUAGGUGUAAAUUUCCUUUUUCAGAGUGAUUGAAUGGUGACGGAACUUGUAUUUUUCAAUU